UUUCGUUUCAGAGAGCUCCGUCGCUGUUUCAGAGCCCCGCCAAUAUCUCCAAAACUCUCCGUGGUCAGGGAAACGAGAGGUGCUAGAGAUGGAUGGCGGCAAUCUGCUGGGUGCUGCAGGAGCUGAUCGAGCGAGGCGGAACAAGGCCAAGAUGAUGAUGACAGCGGUGCCCAGGGCCCGUCCUGAGAAUUCGGGGGCCCGGGGCAAAACCAAAGUCCGAGGCCCUCAACAUAAACAACGAAACAAUGGCGUAUUCCUUUGAUCCGAAAAUAUUUGUCGAAUAAAUGAAUGUAUAUAGAUGUAUUUUAGUUCUGGAUACAUUCAUUCUUAUCAAUUUUUGCGACAAGUAAUUCCGGACGGAGGGAGUAUAAAGGAAGUAGAAAAAUGUGCAUGUGUAUUCUUGGAAAUGCAUAGCGAUGCUUAUUGUGAGGCUUGUAUUGCAACUAUAAGAGUAUAUGAUGGGUACAAAAAGGUUCAUAGACAUGUGCAACUGCGGAGCUAUGUUGAUUUGGGAGGGGGUGGUCAACUU